GUGUAAGCUGCCCCAUUCUCCUUGCUUGGUGUCCUGCAAGUUAACACCCUCCUUUCUCCUGCUGCAAACCUCAGUUUCCAUGAUGGAAAAUCUAAUGGCCACUUUCCAUUUACCACGUCAAAGGAACAGUCCAGGCUUCCCUUCAUUUCCACAAUGACCCCAACUGUUUUGCCACUCGCUCCUUGAAGAACAUCUGGAUUUGUUUCUGGCUUUUGGCUAUGAGGAAUAAGCCUGCUGAGAACAUUCAGCUCUAGGAUUUUGUGUGAAUGGACUGAAUUUACAGCUUACCAAGCCAGGCCAUUGCACUUUUGGACAACUCUACUAAAUGGAUUUUCCUCAUGCCAUCGCAUAACUGCUACCUGCCACCAGAGCCUUAGAAAUACAUGGCUUUCCAUCAAGCACUCAUGGAACAUGUCACUGUGGGCACUUCUAGGGGGGAUUCAUGAUGGAUCCUCCAAGAUCAACUAAAUAUAAAACAAACUCCCAGGUAACAGAACCAUUUCAGCUAUUAAAUAAAAUCAUCUG
rnacentral:lncRNA from 10 species